rnacentral:tRNA from 1 species
ACUACAGUAGCUUAAAGCCCCAAAGCAUUGGUCUUGUAAACCAAAGAAUGAAGACCAAAAACCUUCCUGAAGUGCAACAAAA